GUAAUAAAUUUAAAGUCUGACCUGCCCAUUGAAUUAAUUUAAAAGGCUGCGGUAUUUUGACCGUACAAAGGUAGCAUAAUCAUUAGUUUUUUAAUUGAAAACUUGUAUGAAUGGUUUAACGAAAUAUUAGCUGUUUCAUAAAAAUUUUUAUAGAAAUUAAUUUUUUAGUAAAAAAGCUAAAAUAAAAUUAAAAGACGAGAAGACCCUAUAGAGUUUUAUUUAAUUUUAUUAUAAUUAUUAUAAAAUAUUUAAAAUUUUAUUAUAAAUUAAAUUUUGUUGGGGUGACAAUAAAAUUAAAAUAUCUUUUAUUAAUUUUUUACAAUGAUUUUUGAAUAAUUGAUCCAAUUUUAUUGAUUAUAAGAUUAAAUUACCUUAGGGAUAACAGCGUAAUUUUUUUGUAGAGUUCUUAUCGAUAAAAAAUUUUGCGACCUCGAUGUUGGAUUAAGAUUAAUUUUAGGUGCAAAAGCUUAUAAAAUUAGGUCUGUUCGACCUUUAAAUUCUUACGUGAUCUGAGU
rnacentral:rRNA from 1 species